GCGAUCCUCAGAUCUCAGCCUCCUCAGUAGCUAGGAUUACAGGCGUGAGCCACCAGCACCCGGCGACGAGUAAUUCCUUCUUAUAUGAAUGUGUGUACACCUAUAUGUGAAGAAUACCCAUCACUCUAAAACGCCACCAGUUCUUUUGGGAAAGAGAUUUGUACAUUUCCAGUGGGCUUCAACUCAGCCUGGGCACUGUCGCUCAGC